AUGGCAAUCAAAAUCGUACGAACAACCGCCACCAUCAACGAUGAGAAACUACAGAAGAUAGAAAAUAUGAGGAGCUCCCUCCUAAAGAAGUUUCACCAAGUAUUCUUGUUCCUGGGCCGGAAUGAGAAGGAUUAUGAAGAUCCAGACGAGGACCCGGCAAUGAAGAAGAUAAACAAACACACCAUGACCAAGUUUAGCGACGCGUUGGCCACCUGGAAAACUCGAGUGAAAGCAAGGAUCAUCGACAAGAAGGAACCCAACUCCGAGAUUGUAAAGGAUAAUCCGACAAUCACGGAAGAGCAGUUUGAAAUAUUCAAGGAGGUUUGCAAGGCCAAAGCUGCCAAAAAAAAGUCUAAGUACAUGAAGGGGCUUCAAGAGAGGAACAUUGGGAGCCACCACCUCGGAAGCCAUGGUUACGGCGGAAAGAGGUCCAAAUGGGCCAAGGAGGAGGCGGAAGCCGCGAGUCUGGGCAUCCCAGACCCCUUGGCGGAUUUCACCGUCCCGCAGGAGCGUGACGUCCUGAGGGCCCGGCACCAUUGGGACCCAGUGAAGAAGGUUUACGAGACAACACCGAUCAUUACAGAGUUCAUGAGACUGCUGAGAGAGCAGCACCGGAUUGCGGCCGAAUGCGACUCGCCAUCUGAGGGAUUGGUGAGGCCCAAGUGGGACACUCCAUUCAACCGGGCGUUGAACAUAUUGAUAGCGGAUGGCGUAAGGAGGAGGCUCCAUUAG
rnacentral:rRNA from 1 species